GACGAACGCUGGCGGCGUGCUUAACACAUGCAAGUCGAACGGAAAGGCCCUGCUUUUGUGGGGUGCUCGAGUGGCGAACGGGUGAGUAACACGUGAGUAACCUGCCCUUGACUUUGGGAUAACUUCAGGAAACUGGGGCUAAUACCGGAGAGGAGCUCCUGCAGCAGGGUGGUGGUUGGAAAGUUUCGGCGGUUGUGGAUGUACUGGCGGCUUAUCAGCUUGUUGGUGGGGUAGGUGCUUACGAAGGCUUUGACGGGUAGCCGGCCUGAGAGGGUGAACGGCGACAUUGGGACUACGAUACGGACCAGACUGGUAUGGGAGGCAGAAGUGGGGAAUAUUGCACAACGGGGCGGAGUGUGUUGAAGAAAUCUUGCGAGCGGAAUGCCGGCUUUCGGGUUGUAAACCGCUUUAGCCUGUGACGAAGCGUGAGUGACGGUAAUGGGUAAAGAAGCACCGGCUAACUACGUG
rnacentral:rRNA from 1 species